CGGUAACAGGUCUUCGGAUGCUGACGAGUGGCGAACGGGUGAGUAAUACAUCGGAACGUGCCCGAUCGUGGGGGAUAACGAAGCGAAAGCUUUGCUAAUACCGCAUACGAUCUACGGAUGAAAGCAGGGGACCGCAAGGCCUUGCGCGAACGGAGCGGCCGAUGGCAGAUUAGGUAGUUGGUGGGAUAAAAGCUUACCAAGCCGACGAUCUGUAGCUGGUCUGAGAGGACGACCAGCCACACUGGGACUGAGACACGGCCCAGACUCCUACGGGAGGCAGCAGUGGGGAAUUUUGGACAAUGGGCGCAAGCCUGAUUCAGCCAUGCCGCGUGCAGGAUGAAGGCCUUCGGGUUGUAAACUGCUUUUGUACGGAACGAAAAGACUCUGGUUAAUACCUGGGGUCCAUGACGGUACCGUAAGAAUAAGCACCGGCUAACUACGUGCCAGCAGCCGCGGUAAUACGUAGGGUGCGAGCGUUAAUCGGAAUUACUGGGCGUAAAGCGUGCGCAGGCGGUUAUAUAAGACAGAUGUGAAAUCCCCGGGCUCAACCUGGGAACUGCAUUUGUGACUGUAUAGCUAGAGUACGGCAGAGGGGGAUGGAAUUCCGCGUGUAGCAGUGAAAUGCGUAGAUAUGCGGAGGAACACCGAUGGCGAAGGCAAUCCCCUGGGCCUGUACUGACGCUCAUGCACGAAAGCGUGGGGAGCAAACAGGAUUAGAUACCCUGNUAGUCCACGCCCUAAACGAUGUCAACUGGUUGUUGGGUCUUCACUGACUCAGUAACGAAGCUAACGCGUGAAGUUGACCGCCUGGGGAGUACGGCCGCAAGGUUGAAACUCAAANGNAAUUGACGGGGACCCGCACAAGCGGUGGAUGAUGUGGUUUAAUUCGAUGCNACGCGAAAAANC
rnacentral:rRNA from 1 species